rnacentral:lncRNA from 1 species
AAGGGGUCCCCUAGGUGCCCAAAAAUGGACGGUAUGUUUUGUUACUGGCGCCUUGUGAAGGAAAAAAAUGGAAAGGAAAGAGGAAAGAAAUUGAGAGAGGCCCCAAUACUAAGUGGGGAACAUUGAAAUGCAUUAGUGUGUUAAGGCUAAUAGAAGCAAUUCAUCACCACACAGGAUAUAUUAGUGGAGACUUUUUAUAAACAAUGAUAGAGACAGUAGCACUAAAUCAAGCAAGCAAAAGAAAGAAAGGAUUAGUGGGCGUAAAAACAGUAUUAUUUGGACCCUUGUUUGGUGGGUCUAUCAGAACACUUACCUCUCAAGACCUACCCCAACUUCUAUCAGGAUGCACCAUUUUCUAUUCAAAGCUUAGAAAAUAAAAUAUACAUAUAUAUCAAUAUCAGAUCCAUGUUUUGAAAUGCUUGACCAAUAGUUUGAGGCAAAAUAGGAUUUCUGGUGCUCUAAGUUGUCAUUGAACAAGUCAUUCUUCCAUAACACCAUAUCGUUCAAGUAUCACACAGAAAACCCCAUUAAGGACUUCACAGCACAAGCACUAAAAUAAUGAGAUCAUAUAAAGGUAGGAUCUGUUGGAAUUUUUGUCCAAACAGAAAACUAAUCUGAGUGUUGAAAGGUCAAUGAAGUGCAUAUCUAAGACAUGAUGUCAAAUUCACGUUACGAAAGAGCUGCAUAGGGCAUCCCAUACACACUGAAUCAAACAACAGCCUUUCAUCUUCAAACAACGGAUGUGCUUCAAUAAUACAAGAACGACAAAUGAGACUAUUACACCUUGGUUCAUGUCCAUGGGAUGCCAGAUGAAAUAAAUUGACGAGAUCAAGAUGCAGUCAUGACGCGAUCAUCGUCAUGGAACCCUCAUAAAUCAGCAUAUGGCUGGGCCAGCCCACUGGUAAACAAACAUUAUUAGAUUCUUCAUUCCCUGUUAGAAUGAUCUUUUUCUUUUCUUGGGUGGUGGAGGUUGCUCAAGAAUGAAGAAACAUUUUGAUAAAUGGCAACUUGAAUCCACUUGACUUGGAGGCAAGGAAGUGUUCCUUCACAUAACAGGGAAAGGCAUUUGAUCCAGGAUUCUUUUUUUAAUCCUAAAAAAUGCUAGUUUCAGAGGACCACAGAUUCUCAAGAAUGAGAAUGGGUACAAAUGACCUUGCAAGACAGCACAAUUUCCUUAGCAAAAAGAUGAAACCGAGCGGACGUCUCCCUUGCUUCAUAAAGAUAAUUUAUUCAGUUUGAAGAAGCUCUAUGCUCUUCUGGUGCACAUACAAAAAACCACAAAUAUAUGUGCAUGACAGACAAUACCGCAUCAAGUUCAACAGUUAUAGACAUGCGUAAUAAUCUACAAAGCUAUCUUGCUGUCAGCAAAGGAUUCCACUCUGCUUGAAUGCCCAUAACAGCAUAAUGAUAAAAGAAGAGCUCCAGUUUCACUUAAUUAUAGCACAAUAUCACAUGGGUAUAGAAAUGAAGCAUCAUGUUUCAGAUUUCAUGUCAUCAAACUGGUUGUUCUUUGAUAUUGGGAUGCAGUGAGAUCAUGUGACAAAAUCUUGUGUGCCACUAAUUUGAAAAAGUAUUCAGAAAAAUAAAAGACAGACACUAGAAUGUUAUCAGAAACUAAAUAGGCUCAUUUCAAAUUCUAUAUACAUUGACUUGUUCAACUUCCAUCAGAAAUCCAAAUGCUCCAGGAAAGUUGAAUCCCAUAAGUAAUACCUACCUCAAAAGUACUCUUUCUAAUUUAGUUAGUGGCCCUGAAAGUUCCAUUUUCAACACAGUUUUGAUUUAUCAAUAGGAUAAUUCCUAAUAUGGUCAUGAAAUGUCCAACCUUCAUGUCUUAUCCAGAAAAGAACUAAAAGAAAAAGAAAUAUAUCAAACAGAGAAUCACUGCAUCACAAUCCUUUGACAGGGCUGAUGUUUGAUUUAUUGGAGCAUUUAUUACAUGCAGUAAGUAAAGCGAGUAUUAUUGUUGAUGGUCAAUGAACUCAAUUCAUGUCACAGGCCUUUUCUUGUUGUUCUUUUUCAUACAUGCUGUAAAAUGGCCAAUGGAUCCAAGGAUUACGAGAAAACCACACAAAUUGUACUAUUACCAUAUCCAUUUUAAUGUGGCAAGUGCAGGAAUUUUGAAUAAUCAUCAUUAGAGGUAGUAAGGGCGACAUGGAAUGACCCAUGGAAAUGGAACAUUUCCAUUGCACUUCAUGAAGAAUUUUAAAGGUGAAAAGACACUAGUGCACUUAUUUGCUAUUGUUUUAGAGUGACAUCUCCAUUUUCUCCAAUAACCAUUCUAGUAGAUUAGAUUGAUCCCUCGAAAUUCAAAUGCUACCAAAAACCAACAUUACAUGCAAGAUCCAAGUAUCGUCAAAUAGAAUUAUACCCUGUCCUACUAAAGAGAGAAUUAGCCUUCAUCAUGCAUGGAAGAAACCUUCACCAUGAGGAACAAGAUGGGGGAAAAGAAUCCACGUUUAACUAGAUUAGAGGACAGUAAACAUUCUUCCAUAGAGUUCCCAAAUGGAGAAAGAUACACCUCAUUAUGACGCUUCAGUAGAUAAAAUAUUGCUGAAAGAGCAUCUGAGCUUGAAACUUAUUUUGACGGGCUCUAGAAGAAGUUAAGAAGGAGGCUUCUUUCUUAAUCUGGUGGGGGAUAGGAUCCAAACUCAGACAGGUUUCCUUUUAGAUUGUCUCUCAGUUGCCGGGAUAUUAUUAAGAUGAUUAGAGGAAGAUCUCUAAAGCAUUCCAUUUGUCAAUAAAGGCACCAGUAUCAAGUUGAUUGAUUAGCUAGAUUGCAAAGGAAAGGGGUUCUGUAAGUUUUAAGGACUUUCAACCUAUUUUCUAAGGAAAGGGCCCUUAUAAGGUUAACUCAAAUAUUUUACCCAGUAGACUGAAAAGGGUUUUGGGUGAGACCAUUUCCCUGGCUAAAGGUGCUUCCAUAAGUGGGAGACAAAUUACAAGCGCCAUUCUUGUAGAAAUCGAGUGUGUGGAUUAUAGGACCCUUGUGGACAGUUCAAUUAGCUGUAGAUGAUCUCCACUGGUGGCUAGAUGUUUCACCUAGUAUGAUGUUGAUCAUGAGUUUUAGGAGUUGUUUACUCUUAUCGCCAAGGCCGACAUGGUGUAUUCUCGUUCAUUACCACAUAAGCAGAUAGUGUUACCAAAAACAACUGCCAAAGUUCAUCAGCUCAAAGACAACCCUUGCAGCAAACCAUUCUCAUUGCUCUACCAUACAUUCAUUCCAAAUGGAGGAUGAAACAUAUAUGGGGGCUCAAUUCUUACAUCUCUCAUCUAAGCAAGCUUCAACUAUUUGGGGGUCUAAAAUUGUCUACCUGGCAAGCUGGUUAAGAUUCAACCUUAUGGCUUUAAAAAAACCCUUUGAAUUCCCAAAAUUUGCAACCAAAAGCACUUGGGUAAUUACUUCAAACCAAAAUUAAGCACUUGGGUUUUCAGGCUUUGUUGAGAACAAACCCUUGUUCUUGAAAUUACUAACAAAUAUUAGUGAAAGUACCAUAGAAACUCCAAUUGGGGAUAGCCUUAAGUGCUUUAACUACUGGAUUUAGCUCCUUCACAUAUUUUUAAUUCCACAAAAAUAAAAUUAAAAAAUAGAGAAAUUAAAAAAUAUUAUAUUAAUAAUUAGCAUAAAACUCUGUUCUAAAUCCAAUCUACAACUGGGUUUUGUUAAAUAAAAUCAAACAUGGUAAAUAGGUCCUUAUAGUUCAUCGGUAUCACCAUCAUCACUGUAAAACAAGAUAACUGUAACAUUCAUGGGAGCUGAUUCUCACCGGAAUAACUCGGAUAGGGCUGACUGAGUGAGAGCACCGCGUUGGCUCAGUCAAACUCAGAGUGUGGUUGUCCCUUUCAAGAAGACACCGUUUUGCCUAUUUUGGCAUAUUUUCAAACUAUUGUGAAAAUUAAUAUUUUUUUAUUAUUUUUAAACUACUUUAAAAUUAAUUUAAAAUCAUAUUUUGAAAUUACCAAUCCUAUACAAAUUCAAAAUCGCAUUUUCUAAUUCACGAAAAGUUAUACUUUCCAACAUGCAGUUUCUAAAUUGUAUUGAAGCCAUAAUUUCAAAAUGGGGUUUUAGAGAAAUUAAAAAAAAUAAAAUAGAAUAAAAAUGUCAUAAGUGACCCUUCUUGAACAAUAGUUUGGGAGAAGCCUCAAGAUGGAUAUUUUAAUGGUUUAAAUGGAUGGUUGAAAUUAAAACUCUAUUCCAACUCCCAUUAGAGACCAAUCCACAAUUACUAAUGCCAUGUUUGGUUAGUGGAAAGUUUGGGGGAAAAUAGAGGGAAAUAAAAUAAAGAGAAAAAGAAGAAGAAAAAUAAAAAAGAUUUAAAAUUAAUAAAUUAUUUUUAUAUACUACUUCAAUUUUUUUUUACCUAUUUAAUUCUUUUAUAUAAAUAUUAGAGAAUUUAAAAAUAUAUAAAUUUUUUAAUAAUUUUAAUUAUAUUUAACUUUUUUUUACAUUUUUCAUAAUAAAAUCAAAUAAGAGAAAAUUAUUUUUCUUAAUAAUUUUUUUUCUUUUCCUAAUAUUUUUCAAGAACCAAAUAUAACCGAAUGGAAAUAAAAUGAAAAACAUUAUCAUGAAAAGGAAAGGUAUCCAAUUAAAAUCAAUAAUUAUAUUAAAGUAAGGAUAAUGUUACUUCUCGUAAAAACUAUGUUUUACCUUGUGAAAGAAAUUAUUUCAUGUUUAAUAAAACUUUUAUAAUAUUAAUAUAAUCUUUUAAAAAUUGUAAUUUUGACUUUAAUUUAAGCUUUUAGUUAAAGUUUAAAAAAAAUAAAUCAUUUGAAUUGACUUUUAAGAAGUCAAAAGUCUUUUUUUUAACUCGUUGGUUUGAUUUUUAUUUUAUUUUUAUAAAACGGUUUGACUUAAAAAAAAGAGUUUAUAGUCUUAAUUAGAAAGCUUAUUUAAAUAUUCUUAAUUUAAAAAAUGACAACAUGGGUACAUGUGAGAUUUCUAUUCUUUUUCCUUUUUUUUUUCUUUUUUUCUUUUGUAAUUUAAUAGGCUUUUUCUUAAGACAUAACAUAUGUGUAUGAUAUUUUUUGGAUGUAAUUAAUUAAUGCAGGUUGCAUAGGAUGGUGUCUCCCAUGUGUCACCUUCGGCCAAACUGCAGAAGUGUUAGAUGAGGGGGAAACUUGUAAGUAUCACCAAUCAAAUAAUUCUAAUAUAUUUAUAUAUUAGAAUUAUUUUAGCUAAAAAAAAUUAAUUGUUUGCUAACACAAAUAAAACCCUAGUCUAUAUUAAAAAGGAAUUAAAAGAUGAAUAAUAAUUUCCUAAAACAUGUUAAAAUAAAUAAAUAAAAAAUUAUCUGGAAAUUUCACAAGUUAAUGUCAAUUCCAUAGAUAUAGGAGAUUGUAAAAUCCAGAGUUUGGGAUCAAAGUCGAUUCAAAAUCAAAUUGAAUUUCAAGACCAAUUUUACAUCAGAAGCUUUGAUUUUCACUUAUUAAAUCUAUUGAUUAAUUUAAUUUUCGGUUUUAAACAUUUAUAGUUCAUAUUCAUUUUAUAGAUUCAACUGUUAGAUUCAUUAAUGAUGAGAUCAAACUAAGUUAACUAAUGAUAAAGGUUUUCCAAGAGUUACUAAUAUCUCAGGAAGGAUUCUUCUAUAUUCCUCAUCUAAGGUGAACUAACAAGGUAGAUGUAUUCAUAUUGAUUUAUAACAUAAAAGUACAAAGAAAACCAAUCAAAGAUUAGUAUGAUGUUGCUACUCCUUUCGAUUAUUCACCUUCAUGUUAGUAUUUUUAAAUCACAUCAUAUUAGUCAAAUCUAGUGAAGAAUUUCCUCGCAUAACCCAUGUUUCAUCACCAAGAAAAUAAAAUAGAAAGGAAUGAAAAAGAAAAAAAAAGAAAAUUAAACCUUUAUUGUAUAAAGAACCGAAAAGCAAGAGUCAUCAAUUUUUCCUCAUGAACUUAAAACCUAAAAGAAAGCAAAUAUAUAUAGUGUAACCCUGAAAGAGACAUGUGUCACCUUCUAAUUAACCACUUAUUCUUAUUAAAAAAACAAAAGAAGAAAAUUAUGAGUUACUAAAUGAUAAGAACAUGUUUUAAAUUGGUUGGAGUCGAAAAGAAGUGAUUUUGAAAUGGAUGGAGACUUGAUCCCAACUUUGUAGACCUUGAUCUCAAAAUUUAGGGUGAAAUCAAAAUCAUUUCGAAAUCAUAAGUGAUGCAUAUCUAAAUGGCAAUGGGCAUCUAAGGAUCCACAUUUUUGUCAUGCAUUCCCACUCAGUUGUGUGACUCGCUUUUUAUGUGUGAAAAAAAAUAUAUAUGUAUAUUUUUAGAAAAGUUUUUAGAGUCGUCACUUAUUUUUGUUUUAUUUUUAAGAAGGAAAAACAAAAUAAGACUCCCGAAAGAAAAGCAAGUUUAUGAAAACCAAGUCUAGGUCCAAGAUCAGAUCACCUAUUGAACAGAAAUGGUCCAUAACACUCCUCUAAACCCUAAAAUCAAGUCUCUACUAAUCAAGUUAAUGCAAAUAAGGUAAUUUAUUAGUUAAUCUAUGAGUACUAAUAGGAUAAAGGCAAAUCAUGCAUAGGGUGUAAAUAAAAACAUAAGAUGAAGAUUGGACCGUAUCUUGGCAACAAGGUGAGCGUUUCAUGAGAAAUUAUGUUAAUAUAUAAUAAUAAACACAAAAUAUCUCAUGUAUGUCACAAAGCAAGGCAGAGAUCAAUCAAUAUUUAUUAAGUAUAGCAAUCAAUGAUCAAAGGAGAAAACUCAUAUAUAGGGGCCCACCAAAACUCAAUUUAUUUUUUCAUCAAUUAAUUCCAUUUUAUUGAUUAUCACGAGGGAUUAUAGAAAUUUGGAUGAAUUUUAUUAUUUGUGGAAUUAGAAAAUUUAUUCAUGUUUAUUAAAAAUCAAGAAAAAUCAGAAAAUUAUUUAAAAUCUAAGAAAAUAAGAAAAGGUGCAUGACGGAAAAAAAUUUGGCAGCAAAAAUUUAUUGAAAUGAUGUUAGAGUCCUAAAAAAAGUCUUUUUAAGGACGAAUUUUUAAAACUGGGGCUAUUUCAGUUGAAAACAGUUUUGAAAUUUCAAUUUAAAAACCUGUAACUGAGACUGUAUUGCUUAUGUUGAUGUUGCUGCUAUAUAUUGCCAUUGUGGGUGCCUUCCCAAGUAUGCAUUUCUCCACUUGCUCUUCAAAUUUGCAGAACAUGGUUCAGAAUCAGACUGCAACCUGUUAUCUGCACUGCUUCUUUUGGCCAAAUCACUAAAAACGCCCAGAACUCUAUGUUUAUCCUCAUGGUACAGAGAGCUUACAGCCAUACUCAAAAUAGAUAACACCUUGUCCUUCUUCUCUUCAAGUGUUCCUUGGAAUCUGGCCUCCCUUGUACCAUCUUGUUUAAAUUGUCCUCAUUGCACAGAAGAGAUAGUAUCUUCUUUCCUUGUAAGGACAGCAAUCUGCAUGUAUUUCAUGAAGGUGGAUAGAAGGUGAUCUUUAGCUUUUGACGGCUCCACACGUACUGACAGACUCUCUGUGAGCUUCAGCAUUGAAGAUGCAAAAAGCUUCAUCAACCCAAGUUUAACUAUCUCAUCAGGAGCUAUGGGGAAAUCUUGAACUGCGGCCGUGGUUGUAGGCGUGAGUAUAGCCUAUAGUUUUCAGCAAACCUCACAUGGAACACCACAUAGCCGCAACCUGUACCCUGUAUUCUGCUUCAUGAAGAAAAGCAAGACCCUCUGCUGCAUCUAAAGCAAUUUUCAUUCUUGUUGAUCAAGUCAGUGUAGCACACACUAGGAUGGCCAUGCACACGUGGGAGCCGGGGACUUAGGAAGUGAAUAUUGGAUAUGGUAUUCAAGUCCUCUGAUCUUUAUUCAACUUCUGAUGGUUCAUUCAAGUAAAUGACCCUUGCAUCAAAUCGAAUUUUCAGGCACAAAAAUCUGACAUCUCCGACUUUGUUCCCCUUUGUACAGAACAGCUAAACUUGGGAGAAUUCUGUCCCUUCUCAAGAUCAUCAAAAGCAGCUGGAGAAAGCAGGCAACAUCAAACUUCUGGAUCCUCAAGGAAUUCCCACAAAGACCCGAUUUCCAAACCCCAUGCAGAAUACAGUGUCAAGUUCUCCGGCAUAUAUUCUGGAGGCUUUACAAGUGAAGGACAAAAAGCUGAUGAGCGUAGGCUAGCUUCUUUCCUGAUGUUCUCUUUAUGACUACGGGUCAAAGGAUUCAGAAGACAUGGAAGUCAACCAUGGUUAAUUAUGCACUGGGUUUGCAAGAUUGCUCCUGACAGCAAGUGUUCGUUUGUUGUUAGACAGUGCUGAGGGCUUUGAGAGUCUCUGCCAAGAGCUGGUUCAGUUUGUAGAUCCCUGAGUAGAAACCAGAGCAACUGAGUGGAUAAGAAACAGGAGAAUGAGUGGUCACACUGUCGGAUGACUUCAUUGGAGUAACCUUAAAGGCAUGGGAGUCCAGAGAUCUCUCGGAUGAGGUUUGUGAGAUUAUGUUGGGAAAUGUAAGAUUUGGAAAUAAGGCUUCAAGAUGAACUGAUAUGGUUACGGCUAUCGAGAGGAACCUGACAUAUCUCAACUGUUGUUCCUUCAGGUUAAGCUUCCUGAAGCUUUCUUGCAGGAUAAGGACCCCCUUUCUAACAGCUUCCUGCAGCUUUUCAGCUAUUCCGGUUAGAGCAGGGACACUAGUGAGUUUACUUGAUGACAUAACCUAAUGAAUUGCCUCACAACAUUCAGCAUAUCCACAAACAACCAUGAGCCCUCAUUAAUCAAUACAAGUAACUUCUCCACCAAGAUUAAUUACACCAAUGCACUGACCAGCUUGACAAUCCCGAAUCCUUAUAGUCUCAUCUUCACUACCAGUAUAUGACUUAUCAAACCCAGAUGGCAAAGUAAUCCCAAAUACAAAACUCCAAUUCAGCUCCAUGGCCAAUAUUUUGGACUAAUAGACUGGAGCACAGAUAUAAUCACAGAAACCCUCCAUUUAGUUCAUUUCUCUUCACAACCUCACUUUUCCAGUCUCAUCAACUUGGCCAUUGAUGACCUCAUCCCCACCAUCAACAAAAAACAGAGCAAUAAACAGAGAGGAGCAAAAAAAAAAAAGAAACAGGAUAUGAACUUAGCUAUAUUUCACGGAUUGUCAAAGAGCAAGAGCAAGUGGAAUCAACAGGAAACAAAGCAUGAUUUUUAUAUAUCAAGUUCAGGGAUGAAGCCAUACAUCAGAUACUUAUAGAAGGAGUCAAGGAAACCAAGAUAAAAUCAAACAGAGCAUAUAUGCACACAAACAGAUUCAGCAAAACAAACCAGUAAUCCUUGAUGCCCAAACCAAUCAAUAAAAUCACACCCAGGAAUCUGCAGAAAGAUUUAGCAGAAUAAUGUGAUAACGAGGAAAUGUGAAGUUCACAGAGACCUUACCUGGAAGUUUCCUCCCCGAGCAAGGUGUGCUCCUCUUCAAGCACUCUUUCUUCCUCCAAAGCCAGCGAGAACUCCCAGCUUCUUCUUCUCCUCUGCUCUGCUUUCUUGUCCUCCAAGACACACUUACCCUCUCUCUCAAAAACAGCCUUCCCUCCUUACCCCUUUCUCUAAAACAGCUACCCAAUGGAUCCUCUCCAACAGCUCCUCACCGGAAAAUGGUCCCCCAGACUAGAAUCUGCCCCCCUCCAAGAAUAUUUUCUCACAGUUCAGCUCACCAUCUCUCUCAAUUCCCCCCACCCACCCUUUUCGGUUUUCUCCUUCCCCAAGUUUUCUUCUUCUUUUUCUUCCACUCCUCUGCCCUCCAAAAUUUCUCUCCCUCUCCUCUCCAAAACCCCUUAGAAAACAAAGCCCCUCUGCUCUCUCUCUCUCUCUCUAAGGACCCCCUCCAAAGCGUGCUGCCCUCUGCAGAGAUUGUCCCUCCAACUGCAGAAAACUACCUCCUACCCCCAACAAACUCUUACCAGAAAAAUUAAAAAACCUUUUCCCUGCCGCGUGUCUCCUCCAGGGUGGUUUAAAAAAAGUCCCAGAAAACCAAAGGUGGCCCAAAAAGAGAGUCCCACGCCGACGGCCCAAAAUGGGGUCUACAGCAUCUUUAAAUUUCAAUAUAUUUUAUAUUCAUCCGCUGCCCUCCUCUUCCUUUGCAAUUCCUCGCGUCGAAUUGAUGUUUUCUACUUUGA